ACCAGCAUGGCAUAGUGGUUUGAAUGUUGGACUGUGACUCUGGAAACCAGAGUUCGAUUCCCUGCCAUGGAA